rnacentral:rRNA from 1 species
CCUACGGGAGGCAGCAGUGGGGAAUAUUGCACAAUGGGGGAAACCCUGAUGCAGCGACGCCGCGUGAGCGAUGAAGUCUCUCGGUAUGUAAAGCCCUAUCAGCAGGGAAGAAAAUGACGGUACCUGACUAAGAACCCCCGGCUCACUACGUGCCAGCAGCCGCGGUAAUACGUAGGUGGCAAGCGUUGUCCGGAUUUACUGGGUGUAAAGGGCGUGUAGCCGGGCUGACAAGUCAGAUGUGAAAACCGGGGGCUCAACCCCCGAACUGCAUUUGAAACUGUUGGUCUUGAGUGGCGGAGAGGCAGGCGGAAUGCCUGGUGUAGCGGUGAAAUGCGUAGAUAUUAGGAGGAACACCAGUGGCGAAGGCAGCGUACUGGCGGACAACUGACGGUGAGGCGCGAAAGCGUGGGGAGUAAACAGGAUUAGAUACCCGAGUAGUC